CCUACGGGUGGCUGCAGUGGGGAAUAUUGCACAAUGGGCGCAAGCCUGAUGCAGCCAUGCCGCGUGUGUGAAGAAGGCCUUUGGGUUGUAAAGCACUUUCAGCGGGGAGGAAGGCGUUAAGGUUAAUAACCUUGGCGAUUGACGUUACCCGCGGAAGAAGCACCGGCUAACUCCGUGCCAGCAGCCGCGGUAAUACGGAGGGUGCAAGCGUUAAUCGGAAUUACUGGGCGUAAAGCGCACGCAGGCGGUCUGUCAAGUCGGAUGUGAAAUCCCCGGGCUCAACCUGGGAACUGCAUUCGAAACUGGCAGGCUAGAGUCUUGUAGAGGGGGGUAGAAUUCCAGGUGUAGCGGUGAAAUGCGUAGAGAUCUGGAGGAAUACCGGUGGCGAAGGCGGCCCCCUGGACAAAGACUGACGCUCAGGUGCGAAAGCGUGGGGAGCAAACAGGAUUAGAUACCCGAGUAGUC
rnacentral:rRNA from 1 species